UUGAAGAAACGAAAGCAUUCCAAAUUAGUUAAAUUUGUUUCAACGACUUGGCAUAAAAUAUUGAAAUUCUUCGUCUUUGAAGAAAACAAGUAUGUCAAAUGUGUGGAUCGAUAUAGUGAAUUCUAUGAUUAAUUCACGGUCUAUUUCCUGGGCUUCGUGAUGUCAUUCUCAUCCACUGAUUGUUCUCAAACCUCCAUUCCAAGCGAGGAAUUUUCUGUCUCCUUCAAGCUGUUAUGGCUCCAGUUGCAACAGUAUGUUUGUCAAUAUGGAUUUCUUUAUGUCUUGAUGAUAAAUGUGAUUCGACGGGAAAAAAAAAAGUGUAGGAACAAUGUCUGAUGUCAGUGAAAUGUACGAGGGUCACUCCAAAAGUAAUGCACCAUAUUUUUUUUAACAAAAUCACUUGUGAAUGUUUCCGUCUCAUUCUCACACAUCAGGAACUCGGUAACAGCUCGUUUUUUCUGACGAACGUCAAGGACAGCAGCCAUGUUUAACGAAUGAUACACAUGUGCCACUUGCGGGAGAAGGAUGAGUUAAGUUUUAAUAGAACCGGGACGAAUGCAUCUCUGUCCUGAGUGAAUAUCAACACGGUAGAAUAAAAGGGGACUUUUGGAGUAACCCUCGUAUUAGACACUGGAGACACCAGAAGCCUCUCUCUUGAAAACAGAUAUCUGGAUGGUCAACUAACUACCCUGAGGCUCAAAAGUGGAAAAGUUCUGUCAAGUGAAAGAUUAAGUUAUUAUAUACCAAGAAAUAUAUAUAAAAAACAGAGUGUUUCACAUGAAAAAUCCCAGUUCAAAGCUCUGAAAUCAUCCACAGUGCUGAAACUUAGAGCAAGUUGGGAAGACAAAUGAGGUCUGUGCCCACAACAACAGCAGAUAUUUUUGCCUGUUAUGUUUUUAUAUAACAUCUCAGAAAGUUAAUAUAAUGUCCUAUACAUUUUUAUACUAAAAUUACAUGUUUAGGAAGAAUAAUAUUGUUUCCAUAUAUGUUGAUAAUGUUUAUCCCAGUGUGGCACUAGAAGAUGCAAAUCAGGCCUAAGUUUCUGGCAGAACAAACUGGUCCUGUAUUUCUACAUAUAUGGCUUUUGUUUAUAAUUCUUCUGUUAUAAAUUCAGAUCAUCUACUUUGUAACCAUACAUCUCACAAUUUAUUGUGUAGUCAUAAAAUAUUCUGAAAAUACAUUUCAUAUUCUUAGAAAGAGA